UACGUAGGGCGCAAGCGUUGUCCGGAAUCACUGGGCGUAAAGGGCGCGUAGGCGGCCGAUUAAGUCGGGGGUGAAAGCCUGUGGCUCAACCACAGAAUUGCCUUCGAUACUGGUUGGCUUGAGACCGGAAGAGGACAGCGGAACUGCGAGUGUAGAGGUGAAAUUCGUAGAUAUUCGCAAGAACACCAGUGGCGAAGGCGGCUGUCUGGUCCGGUUCUGACGCUGAGGCGCGAAAGCGUGGGGAGCAAACAGG
rnacentral:rRNA from 1 species